rnacentral:rRNA from 1 species
CCACGGGGCGCUCCAGUGAGGAAUAUUGCACAAUGGGGGGAACCCUGAUGCAGCAACGCCGCGUGGAGGAUGACGCAUUUCGGUGUGUAAACUCCUUUUAUAUGUCAAGAAAAUGACGGUAGCAUAUGAAUAAGCACCGGCUAACUCCGUGCCAGCAGCCGCGGUAAUACGGAGGGUGCAAGCGUUACUCGGAAUCACUGGGCGUAAAGGACGCGUAGGCGGGUUGGAAAGUCAGGUGUGAAAUCCUACAGCUUAACUGUAGAACUGCACUUGAAACUUCUAACCUAGAGUAUGGGAGGGGGAGAUGGAAUUAGUGGUGUAGGGGUAAAAUCCGUAGAUAUCACUAGGAAUACCUAAAGCGAAGGCGAUCUCCUGGAACAUUACUGACGCUAAGGCGUGAAAGCGUGGGGAGCAAACAGGAUUAGAUACCCCGGUAGUC